CCUACGGGAGGCUGCAGUGAGGAAUAUUGGUCAAUGGGCGAGAGCCUGAACCAGCCAAGUCGCGUGCGUGAGUACUGCCCUAUGGGUUGUAAACCUCUUUUGUCGGGGAGCAAAAGCCGGACGUGUCCGGCUGUGAGAGUACCCGAAGAAAAAGCCUCGGCAAACUCCGUGCCCGCAGCCGCGGUAAUACGGAGGAUGCGAGGGUUAUGCGGAUUUAUUGGGUUUAAGGGGUGCGCAGGCGGAGUGGUAAGUCAGCGGUCAAAUCGUGGGGCUCAACCCCAUACAGCCGGUGAAACUGGGGAUCUAGAGUGUGCGAGAGGUAUGCGGAAUGCGUGGUGUAGCGGUGAAAUGCAUAGAUAUCACGCAGAACCCCGAUUGCGAAGGCAGCAUACCGGUGCACAACUGACGCUCAGGCACGAAAGCGUGGGUAUCGAACAGGAUUAGAUACCCCGGUAGUC
rnacentral:rRNA from 1 species